rnacentral:misc_RNA from 1 species
UCCGAUUUGUCACCGGCGGUCUCCCUAGAGUGCCCAACUAAAUGCUGGCAACUAAAGACAAGGGUUGCGCUCGUUGCGGGACUUAACCCAACAUCUCACGACACGAGCUGACGACAGCCAUGCAGCACCUGUGAAUCGGCCCUUGCGGGCGAGGACAUCUCUGCCACUCUUCCAAUCCAUGUCAAACCCGGGUAAGGUUUUGCGCGUUGCAUCGAAUUAAACCACAUACUCCACCGCUUGUGCGGGCCCCCGUCAAUUUCUUUGAGUUUUAAUCUUGCGACCGUACUCCCCAGGCGGGAUACUUAACGCGUUAGCUUCGUCACUGAAGGGGUCAAUACCUCCAACAACAAGUAUCCAUCGUUUACGGUGCGGACUAC